rnacentral:lncRNA from 1 species
UUCAUUCACUCAUUUCACAAACAUUUUGAGAUAGAGGUAGAGAGAGAAAGUGGAUCAAGAGGAAGAGAAGGGGAACUAGAGAGAGAGAGCUUGGGAAUGGAGACUAUUAGCUAAAGUGAAGCUAGGGUUUAGAUUCUUGAAGAACUAAAGUUAAGGGGGAUGGUUUCUUUUCACUAAUUAAGGUGAUCGUUAAUAGGUUGUUGCUGUUGCUGUCGUGAGUGACUUAUUCCUCACUGAGUCUUAGGAUGCUCUGAUACGUAACGGGAUGGGAUUUUUUGUGGCUAUUUUCUAUUCCUUUACGUAUUGUGUAUAUUUUAAUAAGGCCUGCGUGCCAAAGACUUAUUUAUGUUAAUGAAUUUAAUCCGCUGCAAAGUUUGAAUUAAUAUGUUGAUGAUUUUUGGAAAGAUAAUUAGUUAAUUACCUCAUUUAUGAUUUUUAAGAAGUCGUGA